UAUUGGUCAAUGGGCGGGAGCCUGAACCAGCCAAGUCGCGUGAGGGAUGACGGUCCUAUGGAUUGUAAACCUCUUUAGGCGGGGAGCAAUGCCGGGCACGCGUGCCCGGAGGGAGAGUACCCGCAGAAUAAGCAUCGGCUAACCUGGUGCCAGCAGCCGCGGUAAUACGGAGGAUGCGAGCGUUAUCCGGAUUUAUUGGGUUUAAAGGGUGCGUAGGCGGGAUGCCAAGUCAGCGGUCAAAUACGGGGGCUCAACCUGCGUCCGCCGUUGAAACUGGCGUUCUUGAGUGGGCGAGAAGUACGCGGAAUGCGUGGUGUAGCGGUGAAAUGCAUAGAUAUCACGCAGAACCCCGAUUGCGAAGGCAGCGUACCGGCGCCCUACUGACGCUGAAGCACGAAAGCGUGGGUAUCGAACAGG
rnacentral:rRNA from 1 species